rnacentral:rRNA from 1 species
AAAUUGAAGAGUUUGAUCAUGGCUCAGAUUGAACGCUGGCGGCAGGCCUAACACAUGCAAGUCGAACGGUAACAGGAAGCAGCUUGCUGCUUUGCUGACGAGUGGCGGACGGGUGAGUAAUGUCUGGGAAACUGCCUGAUGGAGGGGGAUAACUACUGGAAACGGUAGCUAAUACCGCAUAACGUCGCAAGACCAAAGAGGGGGACCUUCGGGCCUCUUGCCAUCGGAUGUGCCCAGAUGGGAUUAGCUUGUUGGUGGGGUAACGGCUCACCAAGGCGACGAUCCCUAGCUGGUCUGAGAGGAUGACCAGCCACACUGGAACUGAGACACGGUCCAGACUCCUACGGGAGGCAGCAGUGGGGAAUAUUGCACAAUGGGCGCAAGCCUGAUGCAGCCAUGCCGCGUGUAUGAAGAAGGCCUUCGGGUUGUAAAGUACUUUCAGCGGGAAGGAAGGGAGUAAAGUUAAUACCUUU